AGCGAACGCUGGCGGCAGGCCUAACACAUGCAAGUCGAACGGACCCUUCGGGGUUAGUGGCGGACGGGGGAGGAACACGUGGGAACGUGCCUUUAGGUUCGGAAUAGCUCCUGGAAACGGGUGGUAAUGCCGAAUGUGCCCUUCGGGGGAAAGAUUUAUCGCCUUUAGAGCGGCCCGCGUCUGAUUAGCUAGUUGGUGAGGUAACGGCUCACCAAGGCGACGAUCAGUAGCUGGUCUGAGAGGAUGCCCAGCCACACUGGGACUGAGACACGGCCCAGACUCCUACGGGAGGCAGCAGUGGGGAAUCUUGCGCAAUGGGCGAAAGCCUGACGCAGCCCUGCCGCGUGAAUGAUGAAGGUCUUAGGAUUGUAAAAUUCUUUCACCGGGGACGAUAAUGCCGGUACCCGGAGAAGAAGCCCCGGCUAACUUCGU
rnacentral:rRNA from 1 species